AUUGAACGCUGGCGGCAGGCCUAACACAUGCAAGUCGAACGAGUGGCGUACGGGUGAGCAAUGUCUGUGAAACUUCCUGAUGGAGGGGGAUAACUACUGGAAACGGUAACUAAUAACGCAUACAAUCGCAUGUGCCGAGAUGGCAUUAGCUAGUGGGUGGGGUAAAGGCUCACCUAGGCGACGAACCCUAGCUGGUCUGAGAGGAUGAACAGUCACACUGGAACUGAGACACGGUCCAGACUCCUACGGGAGGCAGCAGUGGGGAAUAUUGGACAAUGGGCGAAAGCCUGAUGCAGCCAUGCCGCGUGUAUGAAGAAGGCCUUCGGGUUGUAAAGUACUUUCAGUGGGGAGGCGUUACCAGCAGAAGAAGCACCGGCUAACUCCGUGCCAGCCGCCGCGGUAAUAC
rnacentral:rRNA from 1 species